rnacentral:tRNA from 1 species
GGCCCCAUCGUCUAGCGGUUAGGAUCCCAGGUUUUCAUCCUGGUUACCGGGGUUCGAGUCCCCGUGGGGUCACCA